CCUACGGGAGGCAGCAGUAGGGAAUCUUCCGCAAUGGACGAAAGUCUGACGGAGCAACGCCGCGUGAGUGAUGAAGGUUUUCGGAUCGUAAAGCUCUGUUGUUAGGGAAGAACAAGUGCGAGAGUAACUGCUCGCACCUUGACGGUACCUAACCAGAAAGCCACGGCUAACUACGUGCCAGCAGCCGCGGUAAUACGUAGUGGCAGCGUUGUCCGGAAUUAUUGGCGUAAGGGCUCGCAGCGGUUUUCUUAAGUCUGAUGUGAAGCCCCCGGCUCAACCGGGAGGGUCAUUGGAACUGGGAACUUGAGUGCAGAAGAGGAGAGUGGAAUUCACGUGUAGCGUGAAAUGCGUAGAGAUGUGGAGGAACACCAGUGGCGAAGGCGACUCUCUGGUCUGGUAACUGACGCUGAGGAGCGAAAGCGUGGGGGAGCACAGGAUUAGAUACCCUGGUAGUCCACGCCGUAAACGAUGAGUGCUAAGUGUUAGGGGGUUCCGCCCCUUAGUGCUGCAGCUAACGCAUUAAGCACUCCGCCUGGGGAGUACGGUCGCAAGACUGAAACUCAAAGGAAUUGACGGGGGCCCGCACAAGCGGUGGAGCAUGUGGUUUAAUUCGAAGCAACGCGAAGAACCUUAC
rnacentral:rRNA from 1 species